AACGAACGCUGGCGGCAGGCUUAACACAUGCAAGUCGAACGCACCUUUCGGGGUGAGUGGCAGACGGGUGAGUAACGCGUGGGAAUCUACCCUUCUCUACGGGAUAGCUCCGGGAAACUGGAAUUAAUACCGUAUACGUCCUGAGGGAGAAAGAUUUAUCGGGGAAGGAUGAGCCCGCGUUGGAUUAGCUAGUUGGUGGGGUAAAGGCCCACCAAGGCGACGAUCCAUAGCUGGUCUCAGAGGAUGAUCAGCCACAUUGGGACUGAGACACGGCCCAAACUCCUACGGGAGGCAGCAGUGGGGAAUAUUGGACAAUGGGCGCAAGCCUGAUCCAGCCAUGCCGCGUGAGUGAUGAAGGCCCUAGGGUUGUAAAGCUCUUUCAGUGGGGACGAUAAUGACGGUACCCACAGAAGAAGCCCCGGCUAACUUCGUG
rnacentral:rRNA from 1 species